UGUAAUGAUAGUAGCAAUACGUUUAAACACAUUUCAAUUACCCUCCCUAAAAAAUAAGUUUAUUUUAGUACAAUGUCCGCCAUGUUGGAAUUUACCGGAAGUAGGAUUUUUGCAGACAUCUAAACAAUAUAAUAUAUCCAAAAGUAGUACAAAACAAAGAUUUGUACCAAAUAUUAUGGUUGUAGCAUGAUAAUAACACCUUUUCAAAUACUAGCCUUUGAUAUUGGGCUGAUUUAAGUAUGAAGUCCGCCAUUUUGGAUUUUACCGGAAGUG
rnacentral:lncRNA from 1 species